AUGAUGCAGCCACAGCAGCCGUACACUGGGCAGAUCUUCCAGCCAACUCAGGCAUACACUCCAGCUUCACCUCAGCCAUUCUAUGGAAACAACUUUGAGGAUGAGCCACCUUUAUUAGAAGAGUUAGGUAUCAAUUUUGACCACAUCUGGCAAAAAACACUAACAGUAUUACAUCCAUUAAAAGUAGCAGAUGGAAGCAUCAUGAAUGAAACCGAUUUGGCAGGACCAGUGGUUUUUUGCCUUGCCUUUGGAGCCACAUUGUUACUGGCUGGCAAGAUCCAGUUUGGCUAUGUAUAUGGGAUCAGUGCAAUUGGAUGUCUAGGAAUGUUUUGUUUAUUAAACUUAAUGAGUAUGACGGGUGUUUCAUUUGGUUGUGUGGCAAGUGUCCUUGGAUAUUGUCUUCUGCCCAUGAUUCUACUCUCCAGCUUUGCAGUGAUAUUUUCUUUGCAAGGGAUGGUAGGAAUCAUUCUCACUGCUGGGAUUAUUGGAUGGUGUAGUUUUUCUGCUUCCAAGAUAUUUAUUUCUGCAUUAGCCAUGGAAGGACAGCAACUUUUAGUAGCAUAUCCUUGUGCUUUGCUAUAUGGUGUCUUCGCCCUGAUUUCCGUCUUUUGAACUGAGUUAAUCUGGAAUGUGGACAUUGGUGGGCCAAACACACAAAAAGGACCUUGAACUCUUAAAUUGGACCAGCAAACUGCUGCAGCGCAAUUCUCAUGCAGAUUUUCAUUUGACUAUUGGAGCAAUGAAAGUAAAACAUGUAUUUUUUGUUC